GGAAUCUUCGGCAAUGGACGAAAGUCUGACCGAGCAACGCCGCGUGAGUGAAGAAGGUUUUCGGAUCGUAAAACUCUGUUGGUAGAGAAGAACGUUGGUGAGAGUGGAAAGCUCAUCAAGUGACGGUAACUACCCAGAAAGGGACGGCUAACUACGUGCCAGCAGCCGCGGUAAUACGUAGGUCCCGAGCGUUGUCCGGAUUUAUUGGGCGUAAAGCGAGCGCAGGCGGUUUCUUAAGUCUGAUGUGAAAGCCUUCGGCUCAACCGAAGAAGUGCAUCGGAAACUGGGCAACUUGAGUGCAGAAGAGGACAGUGGAACUCCAUGUGUAGCGGUGAAAUGCGUAGAUAUAUGGAAGAACACCAGUGGCGAAGGCGGCUGUCUGGUCUGUAACUGACGCUGAGGCUCGAAAGCAUGGGUAGCAAACA
rnacentral:rRNA from 1 species